UAUAUCUUCCAAUUUAGGUCCUUCCCGACUACUGUCCAUCACAUAGGCUAAGUAUGCUUGACAACCCUUCCGAAGCAACUUCCUAGUAGUCAUGGCAGAAAUCACAUAAGAAGGAAGUAAACGCCUCUCCCCAAAGAAAGUGAACUUGGAUCCCUCUGGACUAUUAAAUACCACUGAUUUCUCAAAGCAAUCUAUUGUGGCAUGAUGACGGGAUAACCAGUCCAUACCUAGGAUGACAUCCAGAUCUUG
rnacentral:lncRNA from 1 species